rnacentral:rRNA from 1 species
AUUGAACGCUGGCGGCAUGCCUUACACAUGCAAGUCGAACGGCAGCACGGACUUCGGUCUGGUGGCGAGUGGCGAACGGGUGAGUAAUGUAUCGGAACGUACCUUUCAGUGGGGGAUAACGUAGCGAAAGUUACGCUAAUACCGCAUAUUCUGUGAGCAGGAAAGCAGGGGAUCGCAAGACCUUGCGCUGAUUGAGCGGCCGAUAUCAGAUUAGCUAGUUGGUGGGGUAAAGGCCUAACAAGGCUACGAUCUGUAGCGGGUCUGAGAGGAUGAUCCGCCACACUGGAACUGGGACACGGUCCAGACUCCUACGGGAGGCAGCAGUGGGGAAUUUUGUACAAGGGGGGCAACCCUGAUCCGGCCAUGCCGCGUGAGUGAAGAAGGCCUUCGGGUUGUAAAGCUCUUUCGGCCGGGAAGAAAUCGCAUAGGCUAAUACCCUGUGUGGAUGACGGUACCGGAAUAAGAAGCACCGGCUAACUACGUGCCAGCCGCCGCAGUAAGAC